CCUACGGGAGACAGCAGUGGGGAAUAUUGCACAAUGGGGGAAACCCUGAUGCAGCGACGCCGCGUGAGUGAAGAAGUAUUUCGGUAUGUAAAGCUCUAUCAGCAGGGAAGAAAAUGACGGUACCUGAAUAAGAAGCCCCGGCUAACUACGUGCCAGCAGCCGCGGUAAUACGUAGGGGGCAAGCGUUAUCCGGAUUUACUGGGUGUAAAGGGAGCGUAGACGGCAGCACAAGUCUGGAGGGAAAUGCCGGGGCUUAACCCCGGAACUGCUUUGGAAACUGGGCAGCUAGAGUGCAGGAGAGGUAAGUGGAAUUCCUAGUGUAGCGGUGAAAUGCGUAGAUAUUAGGAGGAACACCAGUGGCGAAGGCGGCUUACUGGACUGUAACUGACGUUGAGGCUCGAAAGCGUGGGGAGCAAACAGGAUUAGAUACCCGGGUAGUC
rnacentral:rRNA from 1 species